CUUCCCUCUCUUUUCUCUUUCCCCUCGCGCCAUAGAUCGCACACUCCUUGCCUCCUCCCGUCAUCGAUCGCAAAAAUCAACCUCUUUCCCGCUGAUCGCACCCCUCUGCCAUCAACCUAUGAAACUCGCCUACCCUUUCUUCUCUUUUUCUUGAAAAUCAACCUCCCCGUCGCCUCCCCUUACUUUGUUGUCGCUCUCUCCUCUCCUCUUGGUUGGGAAGACCAAUAAACCCAUAACCAAAAAUACCCCUUUAUUGUUUUAUUAAUUUGUUGUAUUUAUUUUGUUAUUUAAAUUGUAUAUUUGUGUAUAAGUGUUAAAUUUGUUGAAAUGUGAAAUUUGUAAAAUUUAAUUAUUAAAUUAUGUAAAAUUUGUAUUAUUGUAU
rnacentral:lncRNA from 1 species